rnacentral:rRNA from 1 species
AACGAACGCUGGCGGCAUGCCUAACACAUGCAAGUCGAACGAAGGCUUCGGCCUUAGUGGCGCACGGGUGCGUAACGCGUGGGAACCUGCCCCUCGGUUCGGAAUAACAGUUAGAAAUAGACUGCUAAUACCGGAUGAUGACUUCGGUCCAAAGAUUUAUCGCCGAGGGAUGGGCCCGCGUAGGAUUAGCUAGUUGGUGGGGUAAAGGCCUACCAAGGCGACGAUCCUUAGCUGGUCUGAGAGGAUGAUCAGCCACACUGGGACUGAGACACGGCCCAGACUCCUACGGGAGGCAGCAGUGGGGAAUAUUGGACAAUGGGCGAAAGCCUGAUCCAGCAAUGCCGCGUGAGUGAUGAAGGCCUUAGGGUUGUAAAGCUCUUUUACCUAGGGAUGAUAAUGACAGUACCUGGAGAAUAAGCUCCGGCUAACUCCGUG